CCAGAAUAUAGCACAAUCUAGUUCCUGAAGUUUUCAAGAAAUAAUCUUAAAAGAGGCAAAUUGGAUUGAAGCUAGAUAUCAAUUUUGUUGAAUGAUUACAUUAGAAACUAGAGGAUCUUGUGUUUCCCUUUAUUUUAUGGCCCAAAGGGGUUUCGAGUCCUUUUAACUUACCCUACUUAUUAAUACAGUCUAAGCUCUUAGAGCUUUAAGUGGAUAAUGGUUGUCCUCAAAAAGGUGCACUGUAAAAAGAGAAAGUAAACUGUUUAAAUUGGUGCAAUGCUGUGCAAUUUGCCAGAUUAUAGUGCUUAGAUAUCAAGCGCAGUUCUUUCUUUGGUGUCUACUCCAAUUUUUUGUGACAGCUGGG
rnacentral:misc_RNA from 1 species